GCAUAUCAAUAAGCGGAGGAAAAGAAACUAACAAGGAUUCCCCUAGUAGCGGCGAGCGAAGCGGGAAGAGCUCAAAUUUGUAAUCUGGCACCUUCGGUGUCCGAGUUGUAAUCUCUAGAAGUGUUUUCCGCGUUGGACCGCACACAAGUCUGUUGGAAUACAGCGGCAUAGUGGUGAUACCCCAUUACACGGUGCGGACGCCCAGCGCUUUGUGAUACACUUUCGACGAGUCGAGUUGUUUGGGAAUGCAGCUCAAAUUGGGUGGUAAAUUCCAUCUAAAGCUAAAUAUUGGCGAGAGACCGAUAGCGAACAAGUACCGUGAGGGAAAGAUGAAAAGCACUUUGGAAAGAGAGUUAAAAGUACGUGAAAUUGUUGGAAGGGAAACGCUUGAAGUCAGACUUGCUUGCCGGGCUUGCUCGGUUUGCAGGCCAGCAUCAGUUUUCCGGGGCGGAUAAUGGCAGUUAGAAGGUAGCAGUCUCGGCUGUGUUAUAGCUUUCUGCUGGAUACGUCCUGGGGGACUGAGGAACGCAGCGUGCCGUAUGGCGAGGGCUUCGGCCCUUUCACGCUUAGGAUGCUGGUGGAAUGGCUUUAAACGACCCGUCUUGAAACACGGACCAAGGAGUCUAACAUGCUUGCGAGUAUUUGGGUGUCAAACCCGGAUGCGUAAUGAAAGUGAAUGGAGGUGGGAAGCGCAAGCUGCACCAUCGACCGAUCUGGAUUUUCUAAGAUGGAUUUGAGUAAGAGCACGUAUGUUGGGACCCGAAAGAUGGUGAACUAUGCCUGAAUAGGGCGAAGCCAGAGGAAACUCUGGUGGAGGCUCGUAGCGGUUCUGACGUGCAAAUCGAUCGUCAAAUUUGGGUAUAGGGGCGAAAGACUAAUCGAACCAUCUAGUAGCUGGUUCCUGCCGA
rnacentral:rRNA from 1 species